rnacentral:lncRNA from 1 species
CCACCAGUUUUCUCACUGCUCAGAUCUUAAUACCUGCUACUGAGGGACCUAAAAUUGCUGUUUUCUUGCACAUGAUGCCACUCCUUCCUCCUACAGGGAGUCAUCCUCUGCCUUAUGCCUGCCUCAGAGCACAUUCACGCUCUAGAUGGCCUUUUGACCACCUCUCUACACUUAUGUGUAGAGUUAAAAUAAUGGUUAAGUGACACCUCUUUUGACUUCACACCAACAAGCCCCCACACAACUCGAACACACCAUUUCCACCGUGCACCUCCACCACUGCCAAGCCAACAGCUGGGAAACAGGCACCCGAGACAGAAAGCUUUGGCCUAAUACUGGAUUUUAAUACUUUUCAGACAAAAUGACAGCUGUGUCUUCAUUUAUGUGAAGAGCUGGAGGACUCCCUUGGCCGGGGGAGGGGGGGGAAUACAGCUCCCCACCGCUCUUCUCCCCUCUCCACCCAAGGGGCUGCAGCCCCGAAGGGUCCCAACAGCUCGUGUCUCUGAUGACUCAUGUGCACGGCAAGAAAAAGCCACAAGCAGGACUAGAAAACACAGAAGCCAGUAUUUCAAAGGCAGACUAACAGGUUUGCUUUGGGGAUCUCAAGGGGUCUUUCGGGUGACACUGCAAAAUGGCACCAUGAGAGAGGCCUCUGCUCCUUUCCAUCCCCCUCAGGUGAGAGCUCUGCUCUGAAACCCAUCUCCCCAGAGCCAGGGGGUUCCUGUGGCCCCAUCCACAGCUUUUUGGGGAGCAGAACGUCGCCUCCCCUGCUCCUGGUCUCAGUCACACCUUGUCCCUGGCCACAGGCACGAGGGAAGCUGCUCCUCCUGCCCCCUCGGCCCUUUGUGCUGAGAGGAAGGGCCAAGGCAGCGGGACGGUGGCCCGGACGCACACCUCCCGUUCAUAAAACACAACGUUAUGUUGGGAUCUGUGGUUUCCUCCUCCAAAACAAACAAGAAACCCAAAGCCUUUGCUCCCACCUGCUCUCACAGAAAUGAGGAAGAGCCUUGGCUUGGGCUUUGGCCUUGCCCUUCCUCAGUCUUUCCCUUUGGCCUCCUACAGCUCAAGCUCUGCCUCUGGAGUCCCCGCCAAGGGCCCCUCAGGAGGAAGACUGGACCCAGGAGAAUUGGGGGACUGGAGGAGCUCUGCUGCCAGACAACACCAACAUAAUCCCAGUCCCCUACCUGUAUUGGUACCCUCCAGCCUUCCCAGUACCAGCUCCUGUGGUCCAGUAUAUCCUGCGCCCGAGGUAUCGAAGCUUGAUCAAGCCUAUACGGGCCAAAUUCCCCUGCUACCCCAUCCUCAGGAAACCAACAGUGAAGAGCUUUUACAGGAGGACCACCGCAAAACGCAUUUAGAAUGA